AGAGUUUGAUCCUGGCUCAGGAUGAACGCUAGCGGCAGGCCUAAUACAUGCAAGUCGAACGGUAAAUAUUUAGCAAUAAAUAUGAGAGUGACGUACGGGUGCGUAACACGUAUGCAACCUACCCUUUACAGGCGGAUAGCUCGGGGAAACUCGAAUUAACCCGCCGUAAUAUAAUUGGAUGGCAUCAUCUGGUUAUUAAAUCUACGGAGGUAAAGGAUGGGCAUGCGUCUGAUUAGUUAGUUGGCGGGGUAACGGCCCACCAAGACGAUGAUCAGUAGGGGAACUGAGAGGUUGAUCCCCCACACUGGCACUGAGAUACGGGCCAGACUCCUACGGGAGGCAGCAGUAGGGAAUAUUGGUCAAUGGAUGGAAGUCUGAACCAGCCAUGCCGCGUGCAGGAAGAAGGCCUUCUGGGUUGUAAACUGCUUUUGCCAGGGGAUAAAAUGACCUUGCGAGGUUAAUUGAAGGUACCUGGUGAAUAAGCCACGGCUAACUACGUGCCAGCAGCCGCGGUAAUACGUAGGUGGCAAGCGUUGUCCGGAUUUAUUGGGUUUAAAGGGUGCGUAGGCGGCUUAUUAAGUCAGUGGUGAAAUACUCUAGCUCAACUAGAGGGGUGCCAUUGAUACUGAUGAGCUUGAGUACAGAUGAGGUAGGCGGAAUUGACGGUGUAGCGGUGAAAUGCUUAGAUAUCGUCAAGAACACCUAUAGCGAAGGCAGCUUACUAGGCUGUAACUGACGCUGAGGCUCGAAAGUGCGGGGAUCAAACAGGAUUAGAUACCCUGGUAGUCCGCACUGUAAACGAUGAUUACUCGCUGCUGGAGGGCAACCUUCAGUGGCUUAGCGAAAGCGAUAAGUAAUCCACCUGGGGAGUACGCCGGCAACGGUGAAACUCAAAGGAAUUGACGGGGGCCCGCACAAGCGGAGGAGCAUGUGGUUUAAUUCGAUGAUACGCGAGGAACCUUACCAGGGCUUGAAAGUUAGUGACCGACUCUGAAAGGAGUCUUUCAGCAAUGACACGAAACUAGGUGCUGCAUGGCUGUCGUCAGCUCGUGCCGUGAGGUGUUGGGUUAAGUCCCGCAACGAGCCAACCCCUACCAUUAGUUGCCAGCGGUUCGGCCGGGGACUCUAAUGGAACUGCCCGUGCAAACGGAGAGGAAGGUGGGGACGACGUCAAGUCAUCACGGCCCUUACGUCCUGGGCUACACACGUGCUACAAUGGUUAUUACAGAGGGCAGCUACCUGGCAACAGGAUGCAAAUCUUCAAAAAUAAUCUCAGUUCGGAUUGGGGUCUGCAACUCGACCCCAUGAAGCUGGAUUCGCUAGUAAUCGCGCAUCAGCAAUGGCGCGGUGAAUACGUUCCCGGGCCUUGUACACACCGCCCGUCAAACAAUGGAAGUUGGGGGUAUCUAAAGUCGGUAGCCGUAAGGCGCCGCCUAGGGUAAAACUGAUAACUGGUGUUAAGUCGUAACAAGGUA
rnacentral:rRNA from 1 species